rnacentral:rRNA from 1 species
CUUGUUGGCCUUUUCAUGUUAGCCGACUUUCACUCUCUUAUUGAGUGUUGGGGAGCUCUAACAAACCCUUCGGCACGGUCCGUGCCAAGGAAACUUAAGAAUGUAAUCGUGGCUGCAACUUUAUGUGCCCACGAUGACUAUUGUAUCAUUCAAUGAUAAUUUGAUGACUCUCGGCAACGGAUAUCUUGGUCCUCGCAUCGAUGAAGAACGUAGCGAAAUGCGAUACUUGGUGUGAAUUGCAGAAUCCCGUGAACCAUCGAGUUUUUGAACGCAAGUUGCGCCCAAAGCUUUCGGGCCAAGGGCUAGCCUGCGUGGGCGUCAUGUAAUGUUACUCGCACUCUCAUUGUGCCAGCCUUUGGUUGACACUAUGUUUGGUGAGUGUAAAUUGACCUUCCAUUCUUCUUUAAGGAAUGGUAGGUUUAAGUGAAAGGCAUUCAAAAAAGUGCAAGUUAUAAUGGUUGAAGUCUCAUAGAAUUGGGUAUUUUCUAGUCCACUAUGUGCUUACUUGUUAUUCUUUGUCUUUUUUGAUCCAUCUUGUCAUGAAAUUUUGUUCUUUACAUUCUUUGGUCGAGAACAUUAUAACUAGGAUCAUAGAGCGACCCCCCGUCAGGGUGGAACACCCGCUGAAUUUAA